UCCCGCAACGAGCGCAACCCCUAUCCUCAGUAGCCAGCAUGANGCUGCGAAAAGCUUCGGGGAGGAGCAAAUAUCCCGUGAUCCGGAGAUGUCUGAAUGGGGAAACCCGCAUGAGCAGACCUCAUGCAUCCAUACGCCAAUCCAUAACGUAUGGAAGGGAACCCGGGGAACUGAAACAUCUAAGUACCCGGAGGAAAAGAAAGAAACAUCGAUUCCGUAAGUAGCGGCGAGCGAACGCGGAGGAGCCUAAACCGGUGUGCGUGCAUGCCGGGGUCAUGGACUGCAUUUAAGAUUCAGCAAAGUUAACAGAACGGUUUUGGGAAAGCCGGCCGAAGAGGGUGAAAGCCCCGUACGUGAAAGCAGAGCUGACUGAGCAGGAUCCGGAGUACCACGAGACACGAGGAACCUUGUGGGAAGUAAGGGGGACCACCCCCUAAGGCUAAAUACUACUUAGUGACCGAUAGCGCAUAGUACUGUGAAGGAAAGGUGAAAAGGACCCCGGGAGGGGAGUGAAAGAGAACCUGAAACCCUGUGUCUACAAGCUGUGGAAGUGCUUUAUAUGCACAACCGCGUACUUUUUGUAGAACGGUCCGGCGAGUUACGCUUACUGGCAAGGUUAAGCACUUCAGGUGUGGAGCCGUAGGGAAACCAAGUCUUAAGAGGGCCAGAGUCAGUAGGAGUAGACCCGAAACCGGGUGAUCUAUCCAUGUCCAGGUUGAAGCUGCCGUAAGAGGUAGUGGAGGACCGAACCCACAUCCGUUGAAAAGGGUGGGGAUGAGGUGUGGAUAGGGGAGAAAUUCCAAUCGAACCCGGAGAUAGCUGGUUCUCCUCGAAAUAGCUUUAGGGCUAGCCUCGGUGUGAGUCUUGCGGAGGUAGAGCACUGAAUUUCCUAGGGGGCGUCAAAGCCUACCGAAGAAUAUCAAACUCCGAAUGCCGUGUAGAUAUCACCGNUGUACCCGUACCGUAAACCGACACAGGUGGAUGAGGAGAGAAUCCUAAGGCCGGCGGAAGAAGUAUUGCCAAGGAACUCGGCAAAAUGGCCCCGUAACUUAGGGAGAAGGGGUGCCUGCGAGAGCAGGCCGCAGAGAAUAGGCUCAAGCAACUGUUUAGCAAAAACACAGGUCUAUGCGAAACCGAAAGGUGAGGUAUAUGGGCUGACGCCUGCCCGGUGCUGGAAGGUUAAGAGGAGAGGUUAGCGGUAACGCGAAGCUUUGAAUUUAAGCCCCAGUAAACGGCGGCCGUAACUAUAACGGUCCUAAGGUAGCGAAAUUCCUUGUCGGGUAAGUUCCGACCCGCACGAAAGGCGUAAUGAUUUGAGCGCUGUCUCGGCAAUACAUCCGGUGAAAUUGAAGUGCCAGUGAAGAUGCUGGCUACCCGCGCCAGGACGGAAAGACCCCAUGGAGCUUUACUCCAGUUUGGCACUGGGGUCCGGUGUUGCAUGUACAGGAUAGGUGGGAGGCUGAGAAACGGUAACGUCAGUUGCCGCGGAGCCGCUGUUGGGAUACCACCCUUGUGAUAUUGGGCUUCUAACCAGCCGCCGUAAUCCGGCGGUGGGACAAUGCCAGGCGGGGAGUUUGACUGGGGCGGUCGCCUCCGAAAGGGUAUCGGAGGCGCCCAAAGGUUCCCUCAGAAUGGACGGAAACCAUUCGAAGAGUGCAAAGGCAGAAGGGAGCUUGACUGCGACACCGACGGGUGGAGCAGGUACGAAAGUAGGGCUUAGUGAUCCGGUGGUAUUAAGUGGGAAUGCCAUCGCUCAACGGAUAAAAGCUACCCUGGGGAUAACAGGCUUAUCACUCCCAAGAGUUCACAUCGACGGAGUGGUUUGGCACCUCGAUGUCGGCUCAUCGCAUCCUGGGGCUGUAGUAGGUCCCAAGGGUUGGGCUGUUCGCCCAUUAAAGCGGUACGCGAGCUGGGUUCAGAACGUCGUGAGACAGUUCGGUCCCUAUCCGGCGUGGGCGUAGGAUAUCUGAGAGGAGCUGUCCUUAGUACGAGAGGACCGGGAUGGACGGACCGCUGGUGGACCGGUUGGCUUGCCAAAGCCAUGGCCGGGUAGCCAAGUCCGGAAGGGAUAAACGCUGAAGGCAUCUAAGCGUGAAGCCCCCCUCAAGAUGAGAUAUCCCAUUCUUUAGUGAAGUAAACCCCCUUGAAGACGACGAGGUAGAUAGGGCAGAGGUGGAAGUGUGGUAACACAUGGAGCUGACUGUUACUAAUCGGGUGAGGGCUUGACCA
rnacentral:rRNA from 1 species